GACGAACGCUGGCGGCGUGCCUAAUACAUGCAAGUCGAGCGGACUUGACGGAGCUUGCUCCUGAUAGUCAGCGGCGGACGGGUGAGUAACACGUGGGCAACCUGCCUGUAAGACUGGGAUAACUUCGGGAAACCGGAGCUAAUACCGGAUACGUUCUUUUCUCGCAUGAGAGAAGAUGGAAAGACGGUUUCGGCUGUCACUUACAGAUGGGCCCGCGGCGCAUUAGCUAGUUGGUGGGGUAAUGGCCCACCAAGGCGACGAUGCGUAGCCGACCUGAGAGGGUGAUCGGCCACACUGGGACUGAGACACGGACCAGACUCCUACGGGAGGCAGCAGUAGGGAAUCUUCCGCAAUGGACGAAAGUCUGACGGAGCAACGCCGCGUGAGUGAAGAAGGUUUUCGGAUCGUAAAACUCUGUUGUCAGGGAAGAACAAGUGCCAUAGUAACUGAUGGUACCUUGACGGUACCUGACCAGAAAGCCACGGCUAACUACGUGCCAGCAGCCGCAGUAAUAC
rnacentral:rRNA from 1 species